UUGAAUUAAAUCAACUUUGAAUAUUUUACCAGGUACAACAUUUGUAUUAUUUUGAACGGGUUACGAUUUUCCAAAUGCUAGUACUAAAAUAUUUAUCACAAUUUGAGGAAUAUGCCCAACAUAAUAUAGUAGCCGUACUUGAUUUCUUUCUUUUGAUUAUCGCUAUUAGUUAAAUAAAUUUACAGUGGCACCGAAUCCAUGUAUUAGGUGUGGCAGCCGCCACACCUAUUUUAAGGGGUGGGUGUACCCCCAAAAUUUGUGAGUAAUCGUAAUCCUAAGUAUAAAAAUAUAUUGUACCUACACAUAAUAUAAGAAAGAUGACGUCCUAUAGUGUGCCAAUAGCGUGCAGUGUCUACUUGUGUGAUAACGUUAUAAAUAACCAAUUACUAAUUAUUAAUAAAUAAUUUAAUCAAUAGUAUUGUGUAAAAAGUCAAAAACUCUGACAAUACAAUACAUUUACUAUUUUUAUUUUAAAAGUGAUAAAACAAUUAGUACCUAUUAACUGAAAUAGCGGGGGUGAUGGCCCCCCGGCACACAUGAAUGAAUUUUAUUUUACAACAAUUUCUGCAUUUAUAUUUUAUGUCUGAAAUUACCUAUUAUGACAUUAAAAAUGGUUCAAAUUUCUACUUCACCAACUUUUCUGAUAAAAAAAGUGAAUCUAGUUGGUACUUUGUUGAGUCAAAACUCAAAAGUAAAAAAGUUAAUUUUUAAACAGUAAUUUUCAAAAGCAUCGUCGGGUGGCAUUUUGUCGGAUUUUGGUGAUGGUGUUUUGUCGCUAUCACGUGGCCUUAUGUCGGGUAGUUAUUUGUCGGGUGGCUUUUUGGCGUGCUUCCUUUUAUGUUAGGCUUCAUGUAAUCAUUGUUAUGAUUUUGCGGUUAUAACCACGGUUAUAUUAUACUAAUGUCUUAAACCAUGGUUAUAACAAAUAAGUCGACAAAAUCUAAUUUUCUGAUUGGCUGCUAUUUUUACUGCGUCAAGAGACAUCUAAUGCAUUGCCAGCUGCAUGUUGUUUGGUUUUUAUCAAUCAUUUCUCAAAACAUUUUUCAAGUGACUAGUGAGUACACUUCAGUUAUAGUAUUAAAAUAAUAUUUCUUAGGUUAUGUAUCGAACAAUUUCAUACGUAUUUGAAUAAAACUAUUUUUUUUUUUUUGAAAUCUAGCAUGCCGAAAGACAAAAUGGCUAGCAACCAUUACAACGGCCGUGGUAGCGGGUUGUUCUAUGGUACCACGGUGCUUUGCCGGGUGCCCGUACGCCGUCCGGGAGGAAACGUAUCUAAUAAAAAAAAGCACAUGCGUAUUGCAUUUGCCAAGAUGGUACAGGUGCCAACAGGUGGGUCACCUGGCAAGGAAUUGUGGAAAGUUUGUCCUAUUAUUUAUUUUGUCACGUGCUAAGCUUUUGUAAAUUUUAUCAGACCCCUGCGUGGUACUUGCGGCAUCGUCGGGCGCGUCCUCAUCGGUGGUCGCGUCGUCGUCGCAGCAGCGGCGACGACAACCACUGCAGGGGCCGCAGCCACCACAGCAGCAGCGAGGGUCGAAGCGGCGGGUCCGUGGGAGAAGUAGUUUUGUCUGACAAACGUCGAGGGCGAGGAGGAGGGGUCGCCGGCCGCAGCCUCGACUCUUAAAUCGACGGGUGAGGAGGUGGGGUUCACGACCGCCUCUUCAACGCCAGGAACUCCAACUGUGGUUGGGUCGGCAGACAGUGGGAGGUGGGCGGUUACGGCGGCUGGUAAGUUUCAAUUGGACGAUUUUGUCUACUUCAUAAUUUAUUUAACAAUUUAAAUUCAUUGGUAUAAUGGCAACAACAAUAAGGGAGUAUCGUAAGUUGAAAACAAUUAAAUAUUUAUUUAUGUAUCAAAGUUUUUAACUUUUAAUCAUACAAAAAUACAAUUAUUUUCCUAAACAUUAGCAUUCUCUAAUUUUAUUUUCCACAUGUUUAGAGUUCUAAUCAAUUAGUUUCCAAGCAUUUAGCUCCUCCCUGGUUUAUGGUUAUAUAUUCUUAUAAACAAACUAGCUCUGAUUAGUAAUAUUUAUAUAAACAUUUUUGAUAUAAUAUAACUACAUAUUAUUACUGCAUUAAUAUUACUGUACCUAUAUCGGCACGGAAUAAGAACAUGGCCAGGCGGCGGACCGAUUAGUGUCCGUUACGCACAGCCGAUUUCUCAUUGGUUCCCCAAACAUCUGUUCACAGUUAUACAGCACUGUUCAAAAUGAACCGCAUACACUGUUUUUUUAUAAACACUAGCACGUCUCUGUUGACACACGAGGCGCUCCAUAUACAAAGCCGGUAAUUGCCACCAUGGUGGGCAACGCUAUUGCAAUAAUUUGGUGCUAAUUUUUUAAAUGCCACAAUCAUUUUGCUAAUUACAAUAGUAUUGACGUAUUGUCUUUUAUGACAAUGGCCUGAUAUUUGGAUAGUAAUGUAGUAGAUUUAUUACUAUAUUAGUACCUAUAAUGUAGCUGGCAAUGGCCAUCCCAUUAUCCCGAUAAAUAAUUUAUAAAAUAUCUGGCUUAGGUACUGUCUGAUUUUAUACAUCUCUUAUAAGAAAUUAAUUAUUAAUA